ensembl:lncRNA
ACAACCACCUGAAUGUUUGAAAAGAGUGCCCAGUUACCAUUCUGAUAAAGGUAAGCGACCUCAGCGUGUCAAACGUGUCAAAACCGAAAUUAAAUCAUAUGUCAUCGAUGUGGAUGCAGACACGGCCAAAGAGUCUUUUCAAUCACAGUGUGGUUUAGCGGCUACAGAUGAUGUCAUCAUUCACGAGGAAACUGUCGCCAAACGGCCCUUUAAACCUUUAACUCGUGAGGAUCAGGAUGUCUUGUGCAAACAAAUUGGACUGUCGACUGUACAUUCUGAUGAAAGGCCAAACACAACGAGCAGUGUUGACGAUAUGGGAUGUCCUUGUAAGAUAAAAAGUAUAAAACCAGACGGAAACUGUUUUUAUCGUAGUCUUGCCUGGAGCAUAUGUCAUGAUGAGGACCGGCACUUGAAAAUGAGACGGGCAGUUGUGAAACACCUCCAGAAUAACAGCAACGUAUUUGAGUCAUACUUGAGAGAUGGAUACACGUCAGUGCCAGACUACAUAACAAAAUCAAGAGUGUACUACUGUGGUUCUUGGGCAACAGAGAUUGAUAUUUUUGCUGCUGCAGAUUUAUUGCAAACAGCUAUCAUUACUUUGAAUGAUGGAAAAUGGAACAUGCAUGCACCUAUUGCAAGACCACAGUCAGAGAAUUGCAUUUAUUUGAAUCACACUGGUGGUAACCACUAUGAAGUCGUAACAUGUGUUCAACACAGAAAUGCAGCAAGUGUUUGCGCAGGAACAUGCCAGCCUACAAACACUGACAACAACUUGAGGUCAUUACGAAAAAGAAAGUCAGAAGCUGAACCAGAAAAUAUGAAAGCUAAAAAAGAACGUCAGCGCUACCACAAUGACAGUGAUUACAGAAAAUGGAACGUUGAUGAUAGCAAAGCCAGGUAUAAGACAAACGACAGGUUUCAAACUCUUGUGCGCAAAUACUCGAAAGCUAAAUAUAAGACCAACAGCAGCUUUCAAACUCUUGUGCGCAAAUACUCGAAAGCUAAAUAUAAGACCAACAGCAGCUUUCAAACUCUUGUGCGCAAAUACUCGCAAGCUAAAUAUAAGACCAACAGCAGCUUUCAAACUCUUGUGCGCAAAUACUCGCAAGCUAAAUAUAAGUCAAAUAAGAAGUUCCAGACUGAAGUUUGUGGAUACAGUCAUAAGAAAUACAAGAGAAACACUUCAUUUCAGAACAAAUUGAAACAGAACAAUAAAAGCAAAUACAGAAAUGACAAAACCGUCCGUGCUAAUAAAAUCCAACGUAGCAGUGAGAAACGUGCCACUUUGAACAAUAAACAGACUGAGAUAGACUUUGUCAUUGGUCGUUUCCGUCAGGAAGUCACCCGUGGUCCUGAGUAUGUAUGCUCUGUUUGUCAUCGCUUGCUCUUCAAGAAACAGGUUUUGGAGUGUAAAAGAGAAUGCUAUGAACGCAAAGGAGCAGAGGUUGUUACGCUGGCUAACAGGUGCAUUACAUUGCAAUAUUUACACAUCUGUGAUAUGGAAUGCGAGCAGAGAUGCCAUUUGUCGGAUAGUCCAUCAAGCAAGUUAUGGAUUUGCCAUACAUGUCACCGGAAAAUACUUGGAGGAAAACUGCCCGAGAUAAGUGUUGCCAACAGCAUGCAUCUGAGGAUUUGACAUACAUCAAAGACCAGGUUGGGCUCUUGUCAGAUACAUCGUUGCAACCUGUUGAUCUGGGUACAGAGAUUAUUGAUCACAAUUUCCAGGACAUACUGAACAUGGCACCAGGUGAAGGCAACAGUCCAGUCAAGCUGCUGUAUGAUAAGACUAAUGAGGGCAAAUGUUUCCCGGUUCUAUUCCCCUCGGGCGGACCUACAUUCCAUGAUGAAAGAGAGUCCAGAAUUACUCUGUCAAAAUACCUGAACGCACGAAUUAUGAAUGCCGAUGGACGAUUUGCACGCAACACAGACUACAUUUUUUACGCGCAAUACAUGUCAGAGGUGCAGCAGGUGGUAUCAAGCGUAUCAAUGGCGCUACGCAAAGGUGGUGGAAACACGUCUCUGAGAGAAGCAUCACCACAGAUGUUGUUGGACUCGGAUUCAAUCGGUAAAAUCUUGCGCAACAACGAAGGGUACAAGUUCCUACGAGGGAUUCGUGGCACACCUCCGUACUGGAUGUCGGUACAGAAAGAUUUAUUUGCGAUGAUACGUCAGCUUUCGAUUCCCACUUUCUUUGCAAGUUUCAGUAGUGCUGAUCUGCGAUGGCCUGACAUGCUCAGCUCUCUUCUAAGAAUAGAAGGAAAACAAACACCUCUCGCAGAUCUCGAUUGGUCUGAUAAAUGUGGACUCGUACGCCGAAAUCCUGUCACAGCAGCGAGAAUGUUUGACCACCGAUGGCAUAGUUUCCUUCGUAAUGUAAUCCUGUCGCCGGCUCAACCCAUAGGGAAAAUCAAAGACUACUUUUACCGUGUUGAAUUCCAGCAGCGUGGCUCUCCUCACGUCCACUGUCUAUUUUGGGUUGAAAAUGCUCCAAGGAUUGAUAGAGAGACCGAUGCCGAAGUAGUAAGUUUCAUAGACAGAUACAUCAACUGUGAGAUUCCGCCAGACAGUGAUUCAGAACUUGAGGAGCUCGUGACCAGUGUACAAAGACACAGCAAAAGACACUCCAAGACUUGCCGCAAGAAAAACACAGUGUGCAGGUUCAAUUUCCCACGCCCACCAUCAAGCCGUACGUUCAUCACAGGAGGCGCGAACUCUGACAACUUUAAGAGCGACGACGAAAUCACGAGGGCCUGCAAAGUUUUAAAGGAAGUAAAGUCUGC